rnacentral:rRNA from 1 species
UACGUAGGGUGCAAGCGUUGUCCGGAAUUAUUGGGCGUAAAGAGCUUGUAGGCGGUUCGUCGCGUCGGCUGUGAAAACCCGAGGCUCAACCUCGGGCCUGCAGUCGAUACGGGCGGACGUGGAGUUCGGCAGGGGAGACUGGAAUUCCUGGUGUAGCGGUGAAAUGCGCAGAUAUCAGGAGGAACACCGGUGGCGAAGGCGGGUCUCUGGGCCGAUACUGACGCUGAGGAGCGAAAGCGUGGGGAGCGAACAGG